ACCUUUACAGUGGUAUCGAUUCUGAAGGGCACACUUCCUAAUUUUAAAAUGAGCUAAAAUUUCUAAAUUUAACUGACAGCGCUAAUUUUUGCUAUUCUGAAGGCAACGAUUUUAACGGCCAACUAAAUUUAAUAGGCUGAUUUGACGUCUUUAAAAUGAGUGUUCCCAUACUUAGGACAAAUACCAAAUGAUGGCAGCGAAAUAUAGAUAUCAUGGAAAUAUAGUCGUUAUUUUAUUUUUUUAAUCUUAUUUUACUUUAAAUACAUAAAAACAUGUUAAAAAUAUAUUUAAAAAUAUACUAAAUGCAUUUACAGCCUAUUAUUAUCGUGAAAAGCAUAACUAUUAGUGUUUCCAAUGUGACUCAUUAUAGGUAAUUUAGAAAUAAAUUACUGGCAACCCCAAAAAAAUACAUUGACUUUUUCAUUGUUUUCUUUCUCCGAUUGCCGGGAAAAAAUUCGAUGGUGAUAAAUACGAUACGAAAGAUCUUAAAUUAUCCGUGAUAGCUACUUGCUUACAAAGGUUUUCAUUAAUUUACACAAGUUUUCCUAUAAGAUGCAAACAUAACCUUAAAACAUCAGCCAGCAAGUUAUAUGAAACACAACACCUGCAUCAACAAGUAUGAAAGGAUCCAGUCGCAUUCCCGUUCGGACUAUCUAAGUUACCUAAACAGAAGAACUAAAUUGAAACCCAGGAAGGAUUAUAAAAUCUUGUCUUCUCGAAGCGACCUCUUCCAAGACUCGUCAGUGCAUAUAAUAAACAAGAUUAUUAUAUUUCAUACAAAAGAACUUUGAUAGAUACAUGUGACUAUGUUAUAAAAUGAAAUAAAGCUUCUCUAAAU